GAGAGCGAGAGGGAAUUUAGACAUCCAGAUCUCUGCCUCAAAGAGCUGGAAAUUACUUUGGAGACAUCCCAUCUGUUCUCUUUAAAAGACAUCAUGAAGAGGUUCCUGCUCCUUUCCUUUGUUUGCUCUCUCUUCUCCGUAGUUCGUGGAGCUGACGAUAUUACAUGUGCUUCUUGUUCUGUUGAAGAAACUAACUGUAACACGAACUGCACGGCACAAACUUGCAUCGCCCUAAGGGAACUCAACACAUUAAAAAGUGCCAAUGGGACAUACAGAGGCUGUUUAAGUGAAAACAGGACGUGCAACCCCCUUGCUUUCACUUUCUCUACUGAUGAUAAUCAGCAAGUGCAGAGCAGUGUGGCCUGCUGCACAACCGAGAUGUGUAAUGACAAACUCUCUCUGAGCGCACCUCCCACGAGCACUGUUGAAAAUGGAGCGCAUUGCGCAGUCUGUGAAGCGUACAACAAGAGCACGUGCGAGAGCACAAAGAAAAUCGCCUGCAAAGGAGCUGAAAUCAAAUGCAUCACCCUCUCCGGGGAAUCUCUCCAGGAUAAGAACGAAACUUUCGCAAUCAAAGGAUGUGCCACUGAGAGCGCUUGCACUAUGGUAAAGGGUGACCCAUUAUCCUAUGGAAGCAAAAUCUACCAGCUCUCCGAGAAUCCUGCUUGUAUUAACCAAGGAACCUUGGCUGCUCUGUCUUCUGUAAUCAUCAUCCUUCCUGCGGUUGUUCCACUCCUCAUGACCAGUGUCCUCUCUUGAUCUAGCUGCCUGCCAUUUUCUUCCAAAUUUGUGUUGGAUACGAACAUGACAAUGGGGUGUGGUCUCCAGAACCAGGAAUAACAUUUUAAUCAGGGGGGACUAUCUAUUUUUGUGUGUGGAGGGGAGAACAUAUACAUUUUCCUCUUCUGAAUUUCCGAGGGACCUCACCCUUUAGCUCCCAUCGUCGUCAUCUAGUCGUUUAGUCGUGUCCGACUCUUCGUGAUCCCUUUAACUCCCACUCUCUACCUAUACACCCCUGUUCCUGUUGUGGUUAAGAACAGGAACAGUUGCCCACCCCUGGGAUUCUCCUUGCCCUUUUCCACACUGAAAACAUUUCUGGAUACUCUGAGGUAGAGUUGUUCCUCAGAUGGGUGUAAUCUCCCUAUGGGCUGCAUAGCUCCUUGGAAUGCUCCGAAAGGUGGCCGAAGUGGUGGAUGAGGAGCAAAUGAGAUCUAAAUUUGUAAAGGGAAAUAAAUGAUUUUUUAAAAAAUUGAUUUUUUAAGUU
rnacentral:lncRNA from 1 species